rnacentral:rRNA from 1 species
GACGUAGGGCGCGAGCGUUGUCCGGAUUUAUUGGGCGUAAAGAGCUCGUAGGCGGCUUGUCGCGUCGUCCGUGAAAACCCACAGCUCAACUGUGGGCUUGCGGUCGAUACGGGCAGGCUGGAGUUCGGUAGGGGAGACUGGAAUUCUUGGUGUAGCGGUGAAAUGCGCAGAUAUCAGGAGGAACACCGAUGGCGAAGGCAGCUCACUGGGACGGUACUGACGCUGGAGGCGACGGAAAGCGUGGGGAGCAAACAGG